GGGGCCUUAAUGGUUUCGACGUGUUGGUGAAAGCUGACCCGUGAUUCAGGUCGAGAGUGAGUCUUCUCUCGCAAAUACCGGACUCAAAAAAAUUGUAACUGCGAACAACAUCGUUCCUUUUGCUCGUAAGGCUGCACCUGCUGUUGCCUAAACACCUAUAAACAGGUUCGAGCGUCUGUAGUUUGACUCCGUUAAGGACUAUAGACUUAACCCCAACGGAUGCUCUAGUAAGCUGUCUUUGGUCGGUUUGCUAGCUAAGACUUCACCAAAGCAUCCUGUCAUCCGGGAUAAGGGAUGAUCCCCGCUCCGAGGGUUAAAGGGGCUAAGCCUGUGAAUGAGCGAUAAGUAAAUAACCAGGGCGGACACGGGUUCAAUUCCCGUAGGCUCCAUUA
rfam:Lyngbya majuscula 3L genomic scaffold scf46039, whole genome shotgun sequence.